GCCCGCUUGGUGGAAUGGUAGACACAGCAGACUUAAAAUCUGCCGCCUAACAAGGCAUGCCAGUUCGAGUCUGGCAGCGGGCA
rfam:Candidatus Caedibacter acanthamoebae, complete genome.